rnacentral:misc_RNA from 1 species
CGCCGAUCAGGUAAACCAUUGAAAUUUAUCUCUACUGACUAUAUCUUUCGAUUAUGUUCAGAUCUGCUUAUUUUCUUUCUGUUUUUUCUCUACCUCUUUAGAUCUGUUUUGUUCUUUUCCAAUUUUCUGGGACUUUGGUUUCUGUUGUUUAGAAAACUAUAAUGGUGAAAUUUACCUGAUCUAAGCUAGCAUUUACUUUUGAUCUGUUGGAUCUGUGAAUAUAGAUCGGAUUUGUUGUUUCUUCACGAUCCGAUCUCUUUCGUUUUUUCUUUUUUGUGCUUUUUUAAUGUUUUAGACCUGUUUGGUAGGUGGUUUUUAUAGCUGUCUAUUGAUCUUGAUUAAUUUCUAUGUGGCUUAAAUCUGUUGGAACCACCUAAAGUUAUUGCUUUAUUCUCAAUUUGUUUUUAAUUAAUUUUGGGCUUGCUGUUUUCACAUGAUCUAAAUAUAUUUUCCAUUAAAGAAAGUAACUUUUUUUUUUUU